rnacentral:rRNA from 1 species
AAGAACUUUCCAGAGAUGGAUUGGUGCCUUCGGGAACUUAGAUACAGGUGCUGCAUGGCUGUCGUCAGCUCGUGUCGUGAGAUGUUGGGUUAAGUCCCGNAACGAGCGCAACCCUUUUCCUAUUUGCCAGCGGGUCAUGCCGGGAACUUUAAGGAUACUGCCAGUGACAAACUGGAGGAAGGCGGGGACGACGUCAAGUCAUCAUGGCCCUUACGGCCAGGGCUACACACGUGCUACAAUGGUCGGUACAAAGGGUUGCUACCUCGCGAGAGGAUGCUAAUCUCAAAAAGCCGAUCGUAGUCCGGAUCGCAGUCUGCAACUCGACUGCGUGAAGUCGGAAUCGCUAGUAAUCGCGGAUCAGAAUGCCGCGGUGAAUACGUUCCCGGGCCUUGUACACACCGCCCGUCACACCAUGGGAGUUUGUUGCACCAGAAGUAGGUAGUCUAACCGCAAGGAGGACGCUUACCACGGUGUGGCCGAUGACUGGGGUGAAGUCGUAACAAGGUAGGCGUAGAUGA